ensembl:misc_RNA
GGCGGGGCCGAGGGGCCGAACCCGCGGGGGGAGGGGCGGCGUCGGUCACAUGACGCGGUUUCACUGUUUACACGCGGAGCGGCCGGAUCCUUCGGCCUCAGUCAGGCGCUCGGCUCCGUUUCGGUU